GGGGAAUAUUGCACAAUGGGGGAAACCCUGAUGCAGCGACGCCGCGUGGAGGAAGAAGGUCUUCGGAUUGUAAACUCCUGUUGUUGAGGAAGAUAAUGACGGUACCCAACAAGGAAGUGACGGCUAACUACGUGCCAGCAGCCGCGGUAAAACGUAGGUCACAAGCGUUGUCCGGAAUUACUGGGUGUAAAGGGAGCGCAGGCGGGAAGACAAGUUGGAAGUGAAAUCUAUGGGCUCAACCCAUAAACUGCUUUCAAAACUGUUUUUCUUGAGUAGUGCAGAGGUAGGCGGAAUUCCCGGUGUAGCGGUGGAAUGCGUAGAUAUCGGGAGGAACACCAGUGGCGAAGGCGGCCUACUGGGCACCAACUGACGCUGAGGCUCGAAAGUGUGGGUAGCAAACAGGAUUAGAUACCCUGGUAGUCCACACCGUAAAUGAUGAUUACUAGGUGUUGGAGGAUUGACCCCUUCAGUGCCGCAGUUAACACAAUAAGUAAUCCACCUGGGGAGUACGACCGCAAGGUUGAAACUCAAAGGAAUUGACGGGGGCCCGCACAAGCAGUGGAGUAUGUGGUUUAAUUCGACGCAACGCGAAGAACCUUACCAAGUCUUGACAUCCCUUGACAGACAUAGAAAUAUGUAAUCUCUUCGGAGCAAGGAGACAGGUGGUGCAUGGUUGUCGUCAGCUCGUGUCGUGAGAUGUUGGGUUAAGUCCCGCAACGAGCGCAACCCUUAUGGUCAGUUACUACGCAAGAGGACUCUGGCCAGACUGCCGUUGACAAAACGGAGGAAGGUGGGGAUGACGUCAAAUCAUCAUGCCCUUUAUGACUUGGGCUACACACGUACUACAAUGGCGUUAAACAAAGAGAAGCAAGACCGCGAGGUGGAGCAAAACUCAGAAACAACGUCCCAGUUCGGACUGCAGGCUGCAACUCGCCUGCACGAAGUCGGAAUUGCUAGUAAUCGUGGAUCAGCAUGCCACGGUGAAUACGUUCCCG
rnacentral:rRNA from 1 species